rnacentral:sRNA from 1 species
UGCCGACCGGGUGCCUGCACUAAGUUCGGCAUCAAUAUGGUGACCUCCUGGGAGCGGUGGGGCCACCAAGUUGCCUAAGGAUGGCUGAACUGGCCCAGGUCAGAAAUGGAGCAGGUCAGAACUCCCAAACCGACCGGUAGUGGGACUGUGCCUGGGCA